CUGUUUAUUUAUUCGUCAGGCUUGUUAAACAUAAUUCGCUAGGAAGUGGACAGACAUUUUCCACAAGUUUUAUUCUGUUUUAUUCAGCUGUAGACAGGUUCAUCGCAUAAAAAAUAGUACAUAUUGCUUUUACCGUUGUCUUUUCUGCUGCGUACUACAAGUUGUCUCAGAUUUCGCUGCUAUGGAGCAUGUUGAUCGGAAAAUCAUGGCCUCAAAAACUCCUGAUGCGUGCAGGUAAAAUGAAAUCCAGAAUAGGAUGCCAAAGAUCCUACGCCUACGGCCGCUCUGGUCAGUGGUUUUAUAGAAAUGUAUCCUGACAGCAUUUACUUCAAGCUGGAGACGUCCAUCGGAGGUGAUCCUUACCCGGACAUACCGGUGCAGUGACAGGAGCACCGGAUUCGAAGCGAUGCCAACAUAGAUGCGAAAGUCAACUUAAUCGGAAUCAACUUGUUUUGCUAGACGAUAUGGGUGAGCAAUCAAAGUAACUUAGCCCAGAUGAUAGAGGAAUCUCGAGAGGAAUAAUGUGCGUUCCGAAAGCGUAUCAUCGUUGGGCAGGCGGUCGCUAAUCAGGCGAUAGUGUUUUAUCCGUGAAAACAGAAUUCUUACAUGGUUCCCAAAUCUGCAAUAUUCUG